CGGGGUAUAGCGCAGUUGGCUAGCGCGUCUGGUUUGGGACCAGAAGGUCGUCGGUUCGAAUCCGACUACCCCGACCA
rnacentral:tRNA from 1 species